AUUGAACGCUGGCGGCAGGCCUAACACAUGCAAGUCGAACGAGUGGCGGACGGGUGAGUAAUGUCUGGGAAACUGCCUGAUGGAGGGGGAUAACUACUGGAAACGGUCGCUAAUACCGCAUACCAUCGGAUGUGCCCAGAUGGGAUUAGCUAGUAGGUGGGGUAAAGGCUCACCUAGGCGACGAUCCCUAGCUGGUCUGAGAGGAUGACCGGCCACACGGGAACUGGGCCACGGUCCAGACGCCUACGGGAGGAAGCAGUGGGGAAUAUUGGACAAUGGGCGCAGGCCUGAUGCAGCCAUGCCGCGUAUAGGAAGAAGGCCUUCGGGUUGUAAAGUACUUUCAGCGGGGAGGCGUUACCCGAAGAAGAAGCAACGGCUAACUCCGUGCCAGCAGCCGCGGUAAUUC
rnacentral:rRNA from 1 species